rnacentral:rRNA from 1 species
UACAGAGGUGGCAAGCGUUGUUCGGAAUUACUGGGCGUAAAGGGCGCGUAGGCGGUCUUGCAAGUCCCGUGUGAAAUCCCUCGGCUCAACUGAGGAACUGCACGGGAAACUGCUUGGCUUGAGUUCGGGAGAGGGAAGCGGAAUUCCGGGUGUAGCGGUGAAAUGCGUAGAUAUCCGGAGGGACAUCAGUGGCGAAGGCGGCCCUCUGGUCCAGUACUGACACUCAAGUGCGAAAGCGUGGGGAGCAAACAGG